rnacentral:misc_RNA from 1 species
GUAUAUGUUUUAUAGGCACAACAUUCUAUCGACAUACAUUGGGGUAAAUGAAGCAACAUAGACCCAAAAAGGUCUACAAAAGGUGCACAGGUGGAGAUAUAAAGAUGACAAGGUGUGCACAUGCUCCCUAGAGAACCAGCAACAACCCAUCAGGUUUAUUUCAAUAAUGAUCCUUCCGCAGGUUCACCUACGGAAA